ensembl:snoRNA
UCUUCAGUGAUGAUUAAUACAGUGACUUUCGUUCUUCUGAGCCUACUGAAGCCAACCUUUCUGUCCUGAGAAGA